rnacentral:pre_miRNA from 1 species
CAUGUACAAGUGGGGUCCCUCAGCCUGGCCUGUGUCCUCUCACAAUCCAGGACCCCUGGAGGGAUGUCAGAGCUGGUUUUGGCCUGAUCCUGCAGGCCAGGCUGAGGGACCCCACUGGUGCAUG